rnacentral:rRNA from 1 species
UCCUACGGGAGGCAGCAGUGGGGAAUAUUGGACAAUGGGGGCAACCCUGAUCCAGCAAUGCCGCGUGUGUGAAGAAGGCCUUCGGGUUGUAAAGCACUUUCAAUAGGGAGGAAAGGUUGUAAGUUAAUACCUUGCAACUGUGACGUUACCUAUAGAAGAAGCACCGGCUAACUCCGUGCCAGCAGCCGCGGUAAU